rnacentral:rRNA from 1 species
UGCCAGCCGCCGCGGUAAUACCGGCAGCUCAAGUGGCCGUCGCUUUUAUUGGGCCUAAAACGUCCGUAGCCUGUUUGGUAAAUCUGUGGGUAAAUCAACCAGCUUAACUGGUUGAAUUCUGCAGAGACUGCCAGACUAGGGACCGGGAGAGGUGUGGGGUACUCUAGGGGUAGGGGUAAAAUCCUGUCAUCCUUAGAGGACCACCAGUUGCGAAGGCGCCACACUGGUUCGAUACUGACGCUGAGGUACGAAAGUGUGGGGAGCAAACAGGAUUAGAUA